rnacentral:tRNA from 1 species
GAGGGUAUAGCUCAAGUGGUAGAGCACUUGCUUAGCAUGUGUGAGGUCCUGGGUUCAAUCUCCAGUACCUCCU